rnacentral:rRNA from 1 species
UACGGGGGGGGCAAGCGUGGUUCGGAAUUACUGGGCGUAAAGGGCGCGUAGGCGGCUCUUCAAGUCGGGCGUGAAAUCUUCAGGCUUAACCUGGAAGGGUCGUUCGAUACUGUCGAGCUAUAGUGUGGAAGAUGCUACUGGAAUUCCGUGUGUAGCGGUGAAAUGCGUAGAGAUACGGAGGAACACCAGAGGCGAAGGCGGGUAGCUGGGCCAACACUGACGAUGAGGCGCGAAAGACAGGAGAGCAAACGGG